GUCUUUAGGGAAAAAAUAGAAAUUAAAAUCUUAUCUAAUGCAAAGCCAUUCUUGUUUCCGUUCAAUACAAGCAAAGAGGGUUAAGCAAGAAAGAAAAGAAGCAACUCAUACCACUAAUUUUCUGACAACUUGAAGUGUAGAAUUCCUUUUACCUAUCAAGAGAAACGUACAUUUUACUGAAGUCAUAGUGCACGCUCUCUAAAACUUAUGAAGGGUAAAUUUCGUCCACUGGUAAAGAAAUUUUUCAUUUUACUCAAACGAGACCUUAUUUCAUAAAGCACAGUAGAGAAUGUACCCUUAGCAAAAACCACAAAGUCCUACUUGUGUCUAACCCUCCUGGCUUCUCUCCACUCUAGGAUUUAAACCAAUCAAUGCUGCCAUCAAAUUAGAUAGAAUCUAGACCAUUCAAAUUACCAUAAGUGCUCUAGACUAACUAUCAUAUACAACUGAAAAUAACACCACGUGAAUGCAAAAUGAAUGAGAAAAGAAGACACUCAACAAUAUUCUAAAUGCAUCACGAACUUGCAAGGUAUUAGCAAAACAAAACCAGACAAAAAUGCAAACAGCUUGAAAACCUUGUAUCUUCAAAGGUUCAAGCUUGACGAGAACGUGUGUUUUGUCCCACCAUAUGCUGGAAACAAAUGGAUUAAAAAAUAUAAGACCUCUUUACUAGAAUUAAAAAAAAGAGG
rnacentral:lncRNA from 1 species